CAGAGCUUCUAUUCAAAAGUGAACAAAUUAGAUGAUGGUCAUGGUGGAAUCAAGAUCAGUUGCACAAAUUGGCUGCUGGGACCUUCUCAAGCAGAGUGCUUCCAAGGGAGAGGAAGAAUGGUAACGACCCAUUAAGAAUGUUUGUGAAAAUGAAUGGCAGUCUACUACAUGGCUCAGCGAUGCAGAAGCCCCUCUUUUCCAAUGUCAAGUAAAAUGUUGGGAAUGAGAAUGUUUCAAACAAUUGAAAGGUAAGAUGGCACUCCCUACUAGAUAUCACAACCAUUAUUCGGGAGUGUGGGAAUCAAAUUCAGGGAAAGGAGAUACUUGACACUCACAUUCUCAAAGCCAGGUGCUUCUGUGGCUUCAGUUGCUUAGAUGCAGUUGGGACCUUGGAUAUGUUUUAUUAUUUUCCUGCUCUCAAUAUAGUUGCUUUUCAGAGAAAAACACGUUUUAUAAUUGAUGCAUGUGCAUGUAAAUAAAUGUACAUAUCUAUAAAGAUGUUAGUCAU